rnacentral:tRNA from 1 species
UGGAUGCUGGCUUAGUGGUCUAUAGGUUAAGCGUUCGCGAGAGAGGCUGAAGGUCCUGGGUUCGAAUCCCAUGUGUGGG